CCUACGGGAGGCUGCAGUGGGGAAUAUUGGACAAUGGGCGAAAGCCUGAUCCAGCCAUGCCGCGUGUGUGAAGAAGGCCUUCGGGUUGUAAAGCACUUUCAGUGGGGAAGAAAGCCUUGGGGCUAAUACCCUCGAGGAAGGACAUCACCCACAGAAGAAGCACCGGCUAACUCCGUGCCAGCAGCCGCGGUAAUACGGAGGGUGCGAGCGUUAAUCGGAAUUACUGGGCGUAAAGCGCGCGUAGGCGGUCUGAUAAGCCGGUUGUGAAAGCCCCGGGCUCAACCUGGGAACGGCAUCCGGAACUGUCAGGCUAGAGUGCAGGAGAGGAAGGUAGAAUUUCCGGUGUAGCGGUGAAAUGCGUAGAGAUCGGGAGGAAUACCAGUGGCGAAGGCGGCCUUCUGGACUGACACUGACGCUGAGGUGCGAAAGCGUGGGUAGCAAACAGGAUUAGAUACCCUAGUAGUC
rnacentral:rRNA from 1 species